rnacentral:rRNA from 1 species
UUGAACGCUGGCGGCAGGCCUAACACAUGCAAGUCGAACGGUAACAGGAAGCAGCUUGCUGCUUUGCUGACGAGUGGCGGACGGGUGAGUAAUGUCUGGGAAACUGCCUGAUGGAGGGGGAUAACUACUGGAAACGGUAGCUAAUACCGCAUAACGUCGCAAGACCAAAGAGGGGGACCUUCGGGCCUCUUGCCAUCGGAUGUGCCCAGAUGGGAUUAGCUAGUAGGUGGGGUAACGGCUCACCUAGGCGACGAUCCCUAGCUGGUCUGAGAGGAUGACCAGCCACACUGGAACUGAGACACGGUCCAGACUCCUACGGGAGGCAGCAGUGGGGAAUAUUGCACAAUGGGCGCAAGCCUGAUGCAGCCAUGCCGCGUGUAUGAAGAAGGCCUUCGGGUUGUAAAGUACUUUCAGCGGGGAGGAAGGGAGUAAAGUUAAUACCUUUGCUCAUUGACGUUACCCGCAGAAGAAGCACCGGCUAACUCCGUGCCAGCAGCCGCGGUAAUACGGAGGGUGCAAGCGUUAAUCGGAAUUACUGGGCGUAAAGCGCACGCAGGCGGUUUGUUAAGUCAGAUGUGAAAUCCCCGGGCUCAACCUGGGAACUGCAUCUGAUACUGGCAAGCUUGAGUCUCGUAGAGGGGGGUAGAAUUCCAGGUGUAGCGGUGAAAUGCGUAGAGAUCUGGAGGAAUACCGGUGGCGAAGGCGGCCCCCUGGACGAAGACUGACGCUCAGGUGCGAAAGCGUGGGGAGCAAACAGGAUUAGAUACCCUGGUAGUCCACGCCGUAAACGAUGAGUGCUAGGUGUUAGGCCCUUUCCGGGGCUUAGUGCCGCAGCUAACGCAUUAAGCACUCCGCCUGGGGAGUACGACCGCAAGGUUGAAACUCAAAGGAAUUGACGGGGGCCCGCACAAGCGGUGGAGCAUGUGGUUUAAUUCGAUGCAACGCGAAGAACCUUACCUGGUCUUGACAUCCACGGAAGUUUUCAGAGAUGAGAAUGUGCCUUCGGGAGCCGUGAGACAGGUGCUGCAUGGCUGUCGUCAGCUCGUGUUGUGAAAUGUUGGGUUAAGUCCCGCAACGAGCGCAACCCUUAUCCUUUGUUGCCAGCGGUCCGGCCGGGAACUCAAAGGAGACUGCCAGUGAUAAACUGGAGGAAGGUGGGGAUGACGUCAAGUCAUCAUGGCCCUUACGACCAGGGCUACACACGUGCUACAAUGGCGCAUACAAAGAGAAGCGACCUCGCGAGAGCAAGCGGACCUCAUAAAGUGCGUCGUAGUCCGGAUUGGAGUCUGAAACCCGACUCCAUGAAGUUGGAAUCGCUAGUAAUCGCACAUCAGCACGGUGCGGUGAAUACGUUCCCGGGCCUUGUACACACCGCCCGUCACACCACGAGAGUUUGUAACACCCGAAGUCGGUGAGGUAACCUUUUAGGGGCCAGCCGCCUAAGGUGGGAUGGAUGAUUGGGGUG